CGUACACAAAAAUGCACAUGCUGUGAGCUCGAUGAGUAGGGCGGGACACGUGGUAUCCUGUCUGAAUAUGGGGGGACCAUCCUCCAAGGCUAAAUACUCCUGACUGACCGAUAGUGAACCAGUACCGUGAGGGAAAGGCGAAAAGAACCCCGGCGAGGGGAGUGAAAAAGAACCUGAAACCGUGUACGUACAAGCAGUGGGAGCACGCUUAGGCGUGUGACUGCGUACCUUUUGUAUAAUGGGUCAGCGACUUAUAUUCUGUAGCAAGGUUAACCGAAUAGGGGAGCCGAAGGGAAACCGAGUCUUAACUGGGCGUUAAGUUGCAGGGUAUAGACCCGAAACCCGGUGAUCUAGCCAUGGGCAGGUUGAAGGUUGGGUAACACUAACUGGAGGACCGAACCGACUAAUGUUGAAAAAUUAGCGGAUGACUUGUGGCUGGGGGUGAAAGGCCAAUCAAACCGGGAGAUAGCUGGUUCUCCCCGAAAGCUAUUUAGGUAGCGCCUCGUGAAUUCAUCUCCGGGGGUAGAGCACUGUUUCGGCAAGGGGGUCAUCCCGACUUACCAACCCGAUGCAAACUGCGAAUACCGGAGAAUGUUAUCACGGGAGACACACGGCGGGUGCUAACGUCCGUCGUGAAGAGGGAAACAACCCAGACCGCCAGCUAAGGUCCCAAAGUCAUGGUUAAGUGGGAAACGAUGUGGGAAGGCCCAGACAGCCAGGAUGUUGGCUUAGAAGCAGCCAUCAUUUAAAGAAAGCGUAAUAGCUCACUGGUCGAGUCGGCCUGCGCGGAAGAUGUAACGGGGCUAAACCAUGCACCGAAGCUGCGGCAGCGACACUAUGUGUUGUUGGGUAGGGGAGCGUUCUGUAAGCCUGUGAAGGUGUGCUGUGAGGCAUGCUGGAGGUAUCAGAAGUGCGAAUGCUGACAUAAGUAACGAUAAAGCGGGUGAAAAGCCCGCUCGCCGGAAGACCAAGGGUUCCUGUCCAACGUUAAUCGGGGCAGGGUGAGUCGACCCCUAAGGCGAGGCCGAAAGGCGUAGUCGAUGGGAAACAGGUUAAUAUUCCUGUACUUGGUGUUACUGCGAAGGGGGGACGGAGAAGGCUAUGUUGGCCGGGCGACGGUUGUCCCGGUUUAAGCGUGUAGGCUGGUUUUCCAGGCAAAUCCGGAAAAUCAAGGCUGAGGCGUGAUGACGAGGCACUACGGUGCUGAAGCAACAAAUGCCCUGCUUCCAGGAAAAGCCUCUAAGCAUCAGGUAACAUCAAAUCGUACCCCAAACCGACACAGGUGGUCAGGUAGAGAAUACCA
rnacentral:rRNA from 1 species